rnacentral:rRNA from 1 species
AAAUUGAAGAGUUUGAUCAUGGCUCAGAUUGAACGCUGGUGGCAGGCCUAACACAUGCAAGUCGAACGGUAACAGGAAGCAGCUUGCUGCUUUGCUGACGAGUGGCGGACGGGUGAGUAAUGUCUGGGAAACUGCCUGAUGGAGGGGGAUAACUACUGGAAACGGUGGCUAAUACCGCAUAAUGUCGCAAGACCAAAGAGGGGGACCUUCGGGCCUCUUGCCAUCAGAUGUGCCCAGAU